UACGUAGGGUGCGAGCGUUGUCCGGAAUUAUUGGGCGUAAAGAGCUCGUAGGCGGUGUGUCACGUCGAUCGUGAAAACUUGGGGCUUAACCCUGAGCUUGCGGUCGAUACGGGCAUCACUGGAGUUCGGCAGGGGAGACUGGAAUUCCUGGUGUAGCGGUGAAAUGCGCAGAUAUCAGGAGGAACACCAGUGGCGAAGGCGGCUUUCUGGACCGACACUGACGCUGAGGCGCGAAAGCUAGGGGAGCAAACGGG
rnacentral:rRNA from 1 species